rnacentral:rRNA from 1 species
AGAACGAACGCUGGCGGCAUGCCUAACACAUGCACGUCGAACGAGACCUUCGGGUCUAGUGGCGCACGGGUGCGUAACGCGUGGGAAUCUGCCCUUGGGUUCGGGAUAACAGUUGGAAACGACUGCUAAUACCGGAUGAUGACUUCGGUCCAAAGAUUUAUUGCCCAGGGAUGAGCCCGCGUAGGAUUAGCUAGUUGGUGAGGUAAAGGCUCACCAAGGCGACGAUCCUUAGCUGGUCUGAGAGGAUGAUCAGCCACACUGGGACUGAGACACGGCCCAGACUCCUACGGGAGGCAGCAGUGGGGAAUAUUGGACAAUGGGCGAAAGCCUGAUCCAGCAAUGCCGCGUGAGUGAUGAAGGCCUUAGGGUUGUAAAGCUACUUUUACCCGGGAAGAUAAUGACUGUACCGGAGAAGUAAGCCCCGGCUAAACUCCGUGCCAGCAAGCCGC